CGCAUUUACAUAUAAUUCUCAUUGAUAUGUAUUAGUUAAUUGCAUUGAUAACGCAAUCUCAUGUAAAGAUUCUAACGCCUAUUUGGAUUCAUUUUACAAUUCUACCCCUUAUCAUGGCACCGAUGUUGUCACUAUUGGUAAUGGUACUUCUCUUCCGAUAAUUCAUCAAGGGUCUUCUUAUAUGUCUUCCAAUAAUUUUCAUUUUCUUCUUAGUGAUAUUCUUUGCUCACCCUCUAUUCAAAAUAAUCUUUUGUUUAUUCAUGCCUUUACAGCAACUAACAAUGUCUGUAUUGAAGUUUUCCCUAAUGGCUUUCUUAUUAAGGAUAUUCCCACGAGGCAAGUUCUUCAUCAAGGCCAGAGUAAGGAUGGCUUAUACACCAUGUCAUUGCAUUCCACUGGUUCUACCCCUCUUAUUGCUAAUAUUAGUACAAUAAGUACUUGGCAUGCUCAUUUAGGACAUGCUAAUUCUAGGCAACAUCCUUGGACAAGGGCAAGACAAUAGAACUAGAUUAGUGUUUGUUUUACUUAUGGAGGAUUAAUUUUAGGUAUUGGAGCUUGCUGGG
rnacentral:misc_RNA from 1 species